rnacentral:lncRNA from 1 species
AGACUUUGGAGAUCUCACAAAUAAAUAGAAUGUGAAAUCCUCAUUUAGACAAACCAGCUAUAGAAGACUUCUUGGGGACAGCUGGAAAAAUAGGAAGGGAUAGUCAUCCUGGAGCCAAAGCAAGACUCAGUACUGAAAGACCAGGGAUUUAGUGGUGCUGAAUAUCCUCUGGCCCUUUCCUCACAUUCAUAUCAAUCAGGCAGAUGCCACAGAUUACUGGCCCACUAAUCUGUCAGAUAAACCAGGUAUGUGAACACAACUGGAAUACAACAAAUUAGUGAAUGAAUGAGAUAACUAAAUACCAGCAAAACAAUGGAACACAAUGAUAUUAGGCUGACUUUUCAAAUAUUUCAGAAAUUCAUUUGAACACAUUGUUUGUGGAUAUUAGCUGUAUGUUUUCGGUCUUAGUGAAUGGUUCUUGCAGUUUUGGCAACUGAGACAGCUAAUAAUCAAUAUUCACUGAGUACUUGAGAUGUGCCAGGAACCAGGAGACAC